rnacentral:SRP_RNA from 1 species
GCCAGGUGUGGUGGCGGGCACCUGUAAUCCCAGCUACUUGGGAGGCUGAGGCAGGAGAAUUGCUUGAGCCCAGGAGGCGGAGGUUGCAGUGAGCCAAGGCAGAGGUUACCAUGAGCCAAGAUCAUGCCACUGCACUCCAGCCUGGGCGACAGAGCAAGAAUCUGUCUCAA